rnacentral:rRNA from 1 species
CGAUAAAGCGGGUGAAAAGCCCGCUCGCCGGAAGACCAAGGGUUCCUGUCCAACGUUAAUCGGGGCAGGGUGAGUCGACCCCUAAGGCGAGGCCGAAAGGCGUAGUCGAUGGGAAACAGGUUAAUAUUCCUGUACUUGGUGUUACUGCGAAGGGGGGACGGAGAAGGCUAUGUUAGCCGGGCGACGGUUGUCCCGGUUUAAGCAUGUAGGCUG